AUCGAGAACUGGGAGAUUCGAUUCAUGUAAUCCGGACCAACCUUCGCUGAGGGACGAUCCACGCCAGCCAAGGCAGCCGCCUGACCCUGGGGGAGCUGAAAACGCACGAGGGUGUAUAAGAACCACCUGAGGCAGCAGGUGGGUGUUCUGUGUGACAUGCAGCAAAUCCUGGCCCAGAAGGUCUGGGAGGAUGCUGAGUGGUGGAGCCGCAUGUGGGACCAGCUUGUGCAGCAGGGGACAACACAUGUGCCAUCAUGUGGGAAAGGAUGGCUCACCCAGCUGCUGUCCCUGAUCCUGCCUCCCAUCCUCUUGCCACCCUGCUAUGCCCAUCCCCCUAACUCCAAGUGAUGCCUCUGUCCCCUCCCCCGCCAUCCCUGACCCCCUCCUGCCCAACCCUCUGUUGUCCCAGGCCCCACCUAAUCCCAAGUUCGCUGAGGUCCCCAGACUCGAGGUGGCACUUCCAGCUGCCCCUGGGCCACUCUCAGCCCUGAGCCUCCCUCCCCCAUCCAGGUUCUCAGCCCCCUCUUCUCCAGCUUAUUUUAUUUUAAAAGAAAUGCAAAGUUUGUUUUGUUCAAAUCAAAACAGAUGUGUUUAUUGAGUGUUCGGGAUGGGGGAAGUGAGGGGUUGAGGUGGAAAAGGGAUAGUGGAGCAAGGCAGAGGUUACUAGGGUCCUUUAGAGAAACUCUACCUCCCGGAUGCGCAUCCCCAACUGAUGGGCCUGGCGGGUGGCAGCUGUCUGCGGCUGUUUGAAAGUCUUCCCUUCGCAGCUGGCCUCUGCGCUCCUUCCUGGUAGGAAGACCUCCCCCUUCCUCUCCACAGUGUUGAGGAGGACACAACACGCUGACACCACCUCAGAGAUGUUGCGCUCUCUGACGUCGAGGCGGGUCAGGAGGCACUGAACCACGCCUUCAGGCGUCCUAAGGCGCAUUCGACCAGCAUGCGGGCCCGGCUGAGUGACUGCAGCCCAAGAGUGCCCUACCUCCCUGAGGAGAACCCCAACGGUGGACUUCCCCACACUGAAAUGGUUGCCCACUGACCGGUAACUGUCUGGAGUGGCGAGCUUCCAGGCGGCGAUGGCGACCCACUUCUCCAGGGAGAUGGCGGGCUGCAGAUGUCCCGUUAUGCGAAGAGACUAGGUUCUGCACUCCAUAGUGUAUCUGCUGUAAAGUCUGCCCUUCGCUUUUUGUUACAGUGGGUGCAAUAGCGAGCCAAUCCGAAAGCAAAAAUGUACUAGGGAUAACCUGUUCAAUGAGCAAAUGCACCCACUUGGACAGGGCACCAUUAAGUGAGGUAGAGGAAAAAUGCUGCCACAGGAGAUGCAAGCAGAGCACGAGGACAGAAAAGUGAGCAAGGAACAUGAGGUGAAGACACAGCAGAAUGUUACGACAGUCAUGGGGGAGCUGAUGAUGCACACAGUAGACUCACCAGAGAGC